rnacentral:lncRNA from 1 species
UAAAUAAAUAAAAUAAAUAAAUAAAAAAUCAUUCACAAUGUUCUUUGACAUCGAGAAUGGGUCCCCAAGACCUAGGGCUCAAUUUCACCCACCUUCAUGCACCAAAGUACCUCAACCGCUCUACAAUACACCUUUCCUAACACGAAGAAGAUCAACUCUUGAAACAAUGAAGUAGACAAGAGAAACAUUUACAAAGAACCGUGGAAAGAUCACAAGUACAAAGGAAGAACAAUUGUGAGAGAGUAAAAAAAGAAAAAAACAAGUGAGACCCCAAGAGCAAAAAUGAGAGAAUGAAGUGUAAAAUUAGCUAGGCUUCCUACUUUAUAUAGGAGGACCCACAACUGUUGAUUAAAUGAGAAUCCAAGGACCACAACGGCACAACCUAUCCCUAUCCUCACUAUAAAAUAUCACUGAGCAACCCUUAUAAAGUGUUAAACUCAAAAUGAUACUUCUUAUUUUUAGACUGGGUCAUUGGGUAAUAUUGGUGUGAAAUGUUCGAGCCUUUUACUUCUUCAAUUAUUGAAGUCCAGAUAUUGUUACAGCAUCCAAUUGCAAAAGAAAUCCAUUCACAAGGUUCUUUGACAUGGAGAACGGGUCCACAAGACCUAGGGCUCAAUUUUGCCCACCUUUCACACACCAAAGUACCCUCAACCACACUUCCAUACACCAAUGCGAAGAAGAUCAACUCUUGAAACAACGAAGUAGACAAAAGAAACAUUUAGAAAGAACAGUAGAUAGAUCACGAGUACAAAGGAAGAACAACUGUGAGAGAGUAAAAAAAAAGAAAAAAACAAGAGAGACACCGCAAGCAAAUAUGAGAGAACGAAGUGCAAAAUUAACUAGGCUUCCUACUUUAUAGAGGAGGACGCACAACCGCUGAUUAAAUGAGAAUCGAAGGACCACAAUGGCACAACCUAUCCC